ACGAGUCUGGCUCGAGUUCAUCCGCGGAGAUCUCUCUAAUCUCUCUUGGCUGUAGGAAAUAAGGCUGAAGCGACUGAGUCCGCAAUGGAGAGAGAAAAGGAACAGUUCCAUAAACUCUUUAUUGGUGGCUUAAGCUUUGAAACCACAGAAAAAAGUUUAUGAGCAAUGGGGCAAACUUACAGACUGUGUGGUAAUGAGAGAUCCUGCAAGCAAAAGAUCAAGAGGAUUUGGUUUUGUAACUUUCUCAUCCAUGGCUGAGGUUGAUGCUGCCAUGGCUGCAAGACCUCUUUCAAUUGAUGGGAGAGUGAUUGAGCCAAAACAUGCUGUAGUAAGAGAGGAGUCUGGAAAACAAGGGGCUCAUGUAACUGUGAAGAAACUGUUUGUUGGUGGAAUUAAAGAAGAUACUGAGGAGCAUCACCUUAGAGAUUACUUUGAGGAGUACAGAAAAAUUGAUACCAUUGAGAUAAUUACCGAUAGGCAGUCUGGAAAGAAAAGAGGCUUUGGCUUUGGCUUUGUUACUUUUGAUGACCAUGAUCCUGUGGAUAAAAUCGUGUUGCAGAAAUACCAUACCAUCAAUGGUCAUAAUGCAGAAAAGAAAGGCUUUGUCUAGAUAAGAAAUGCAGGAAGUUCAGAGUUCUAGGAGUGGAAGAGGAGGCAACUUUGGUUUUGGAGAUUCAUGUGGUGGUGAUGAAAAUUUUGGACCAGGACCAGGAAGUAACUUUAGAGGAGGAUCUGAUGGAUAUGGAAGUGGACGUGGAUUUGGGGAUGGCUAUAAUGGGUGUGGAGGAGGACCUGGAGGUGGCAAUUUUGGAGGUAGUCCUGGUUGUGGAGGAGGAAAGGAGGAUAUGGUGGUGGAGGACCUGGAUAUGGCAACCAGGGUGGGGCUAUGGAGGUGGUUAUGACAACUAUGGAAGAGGAAAUUAUGGACGUGGAAAUUACAAUGAUUUUGGAAAUUAUAACCAGCAGCCUUCUAACUAUGGUCCAAUGAAGAGUGGAAACUUUGGUGGUAGCAGGAAUAUGGGUGGACCAUAUGGUGGAGGGAACUAUGGUCCAGGAGGCAGUGGAGGAAGUGGGGGUUAUGGUGGGAGAAGCUGAUAUUGAGUUUCUUCCAAUUUUCCAUGGGAAGGUGUCCUGCUGCCGGUAACUAAUGAAGAAGUGGUCAACCACAGAGUCUUGAAGAAAUAAGAAAUUCUGUACCAUCUGAAAGUAGUUCUUGUUGGUGCCUUCAUUUGAAAAGCACUUUUAAGUCUAAAAGGGAAAUGUUUUCUGAUAAAACGAAUUUAAUUUAGUUCAGGUUCUUGAUAUAAAACAAAAUGAGU